rnacentral:rRNA from 1 species
UACAGAGGUCUCAAGCGUUGUUCGGAUUCAUUGGGCGUAAAGGGCGCGUAGGCUGCGGGGCAAGUCGGGUGUGAAAUCUCAGGGCUCAACUCUGAAACUGCACUCGAUACUGCUUUGCUCGAGGACUGGAGAGGAGAUUGGAAUUCACGGUGUAGCAGUGAAAUGCGUAGAUAUCGUGAGGAAGACCAGUGGCGAAGGCGGAUCUCUGGACAGUUCCUGACGCUGAGGCGCGAAGGCCAGGGGAGCAAACGGG